UCCCUAUGGGGUGCAGCAGGCGAGAAACCUUAGCAAUGUGCGAAAGCACGACUGGGUCAGUCCGAGUGAUUCCUGAUAAAGGAGUCUUUUGCCUGUCCUAAAAGCACAGGUGAAUAAGGGGUGGGCAAGUCUGGUGUCAGCCGCCGCGGUAAUACCAGCACCUCGAGUGGUCAGGACGUUUAUUGGGCCUAAAGCAUCCGUAGCCGGCUCUGCAAGUCUUCGGUUAAAUCCACAUGCUCAACAGAUGGGCCGCUGGAGAUACUACAGAGCUAGGGAGUGGGAGAGGCAGACGGUAUUCAGUGGGUAGGGGUAAAAUCCUCUGAUCCAUUGAGGACCACCAGUGGCGAAGGCGGUCUGCCAGAACACGUUCGACGGUGAGGGAUGAAAGCUGGGGGAGCAAACCGGAUUAGAUACCCGGGUAGUCCCAGCUGUAAACGAUGCAAACUCGGUGAUGCAUUGGCUUAUGGCCAAUGCAGUGCCGCAGGGAAGCCGUUAAGUUUGCCGCCUGGGAAGUACGGACGCAAGUCUGAAACUUAAAGGAAUUGGCGGGGGAGCACCACAAGGGGUGAAGCCUGCGGUUCAAUUGGAGUCAACGCCAGGAAUCUUACCCGGGGAGACAGCAGAAUGAAGGUCAAGCUGAAGACUUUACCAGACAAGCUGAGAGGAGGUGCAUGGCCA
rnacentral:rRNA from 1 species